GGAUGUGAGGGCGAUCUGGCUGCAACAUCCAUUGUCCCAUUGAUCGCCAGGGUUGAUUCGGCUGAUCUGGCUAGCUAGGCAAGUGUCCCCUCCCUCCCUCAUCAGUCCAUGUGCACCCCCUUGUCAGUAUGCCUUUGAGCCGAUGCCAACGACUGGGCUCAACAACAGGAUCUGCCCCAACUGGGCUAGGCGACUGGAGUACUUCCAGAGACCUUCCACUCCUCUAAAGCAGGUCUAAGUGCACAGGACACACAACUGUGAGUUGUGAGCACCAAACUCAGCAG